UAUUACUGAAACGCAUAGGGGAAUCGA
rnacentral:sRNA from 1 species